rfam:Oryza sativa Indica Group cultivar 93-11 Ctg045768, whole genome shotgun sequence.
ACUACAAUCGCGGAAGUCUCUGGGGAGUAGCCCGCCCGGCGCCAUGCGCGCACGGGGGCAUGCGUCAACAAACUUGGGCCCUCGCGGCCCAUGGCGCACGCGGUUCAGCCGGACUGGGCGAGACCAUUGACUGUGCACCGAUCCCAAGGCCGGAGUCGGGGCGCAGUCAAUGCUGUCCACCUAUCCGGCCGGAUAACC